AGCUUUGCGCAGUGGCAGUAUCGUAGCCAAUGAGGUUUAUCCGAGGCGCGAUUAUUGCUAAUUAAAUAUUCUUCAACAGCACUAUUUUUUUUUUUUUUUGAGAAAGCGAGGGAGAGUGUGUGUGUGCACAAGCA
rnacentral:snRNA from 1 species